CAGGAAUGCAGCUAAACUACUCUUACAUAAAAACACAGAACCUUCGACGCCAUUUCCAAGUGAAGACGAUGAAGUCAGGAGAAAGCUUUCUGAUAUCCUAGACAAAUUGCAAUGGAAUUUAAAUCUUUGAAAUUGGGCUAUGUUUUCCGGAGGAUUAAGUUUACCUUUUUUAGACCACCGUAAUAAUACACCUCGCUGAAAAUCAAGCAAGAACAACAUCAGCACAGUCUAAGUCAUACCCAACCAACACAUUGGACAAAACAUCUACGGCAGAUCAAUGCACCUAUGAAGUGAAUAGAAGAUUCAUCUAUAUCAUCUUUAGAGAUCUGUCGAGCCAAAGAGCGAGUCCUCAGAAUAGCUUUAAUCUUCUCCUUCAACAGUCUAAAUUGGACAUCGUAAUCAGCUUAUAACGACUCACAAUUAUUUACCUAAACUACACGGUCGCUAUUUAUUCGCAAACAUUGCAAGUACCCUCAUACAUUUUCGACCAUAACUUGUUUUUAAUCGAUUCGACCGAAUCCUUCAUAUUGGCCGACGUCCCACGAAAUAGAGGAAACCAAGUGCGAGUCGUAUUACGCGAAGAUGUCAGAUUGUGAUCACUGAUCUCUUCUCUUCUGUCUAUUAAACAACCGUCAUGACAGGAAGCCAACAAUUUUAGCAUCCUGAAAAGAGCAAAAUGGUACGACUGACGAUCAUUACGCCGCCCGUUGUUUAGAUAUGAUUUGAUCAUUCUUCAUGGCAUGGUGACAUGUAGUUAAUACAUUUCAAAAUAUCUAAUUUCCAUUUUCCAUUUCCUUUUUUCCCCAGUUGUGAAAUUAUCAUUUUAGAGUGAUGUAGCAGCAUGUAUCUAGCAAAGGAAUUGCAGUUCAUUAAAUGAUCAGUCUUCACUUUUAUCACUACUUGUAUUUAUAGCGUCAAUAAUAGAUUGUAACUAAAAUCAAUUACUUUGUCACCAAGAAUCAAUUACUGCACCCUUUACAACGCACCCACAUGAAUGCUAUGUAGGAAAUGAUUAUAUUAUAGGAGUCAGAACUUGGUGCUUGUGGAGAGGUAUCGACACAAUGUUAAUUUGUGAGAGAAAAGGAUCUUGCAUCCUACAUAAAAGUAAAUAAUAAAAUACUAGUAUUCCUCAAUAAACAAAUUUCAUUACUUUUAUUAAUAGCAACACUACUAGUAGUAAACUUAAUACUACUGCACUACUACUACUACUACUACUACUGCUGCUGCUACUACUACUACUACUACUACUACUACUACUACUACUACUACUACUACUACUAUUACCCUUGUGCGACUUUAAAUGUGCAACUAUUACUACUACUUCUACGACGAUGACGAUUACUACACUACACUACGACUGCAAUUACUUUUACUACUACUACUACUACUAUUACCCUUGUGCGACUUUAAAUGUGCAACUAUUACUACUACUUCUACGACGAUGACGAUUACUACACUACACUACGACUGCAAUUACUUUUACUACUACUACUACUACUAUUAUUAUUACUGCUACUAAUACUACUGCUAAACCAUCACCAAAAUUUCUACUUCUCCUACUACAACUGCUAUACUACCGGACUCAAAGCAACGUAUCGUAACAAUUUUUACCAAUAUUGGGUUAAGAAGGUAUAACUACAUGUUUUGGGAGUAAAAUUUGAAAUAUUUCAAAUGUAUAAAAUACAUACCUCGUGGACUACUACAUUACUCUUUUUCUUCCUCCGUCCUCUUUUUUUUUCUUAUUCCCUUCUUAUUGUUGCUAGUUUUGUUCUUCCUUUAGCUAUUUCUUCUUUAAUUACUCCUUACUAUCUAUCACCACACACGUCUGAUAAAUUUAUGGUAUAUUCAAGGCAUGUCCUCUUUCUCUUGUGAUGACUACGAUGACAAUGCUGAUAAUGGAUAUUCACAUGAUUCUGUAUCACAUCAAAAGUUUGUAAAACUCACUAAUAACUCACAAUGUUGGAUAAAUCCAAACAAAGAUAACAUGAACAUUUAUAAGAAACAUACAUGAAUGCAUGUUAUCACAAUAAUACAAGGAGAAAGAUAAUGACAUGGAUGGUGGCGAAUAGUAAUAAUAGUAUUUAAUGAUGAGUAAUGUUUUUUUUUUACCUUCAUUUAGCUAUAAAUCCGUAUGCGACUCGUAAUCCCGUAACCACGCGACUACUUCCCAACAACAACAACAACAACAAUAAUAACAGUAAUAACAGUCAAACUUUGAUAAUACAUGCUCAGUUCACGAUACAUGUAGGCUAUCCCAAAGGAUCUGACAGGUAUAUAUAUGAUUAUGUCUAAACAAUCUGAUGCGAUAACAUUCCAAAUAAUAGCCCCAUUGACCCUGUUCUGUUGUUACGGUAUAAAAUAUAUUUCAAUAAAAAUAAAUACUUGAAAAUGCGCUUUACAUGCAUUUUCAUGUGCUUCCAGGAAGUUACUAUAGAAUACACCACGCUAGCAGUUGAUCGUGCAUAACUUAUAAGAAAAUGUUAUAUUAAAAGUAAUUAUUUAUGGCAACAUGUGGUCAUUUGAAAAUAUACGUAUUCAGACUGUACCCGACCCUUCUUGUAUAAUUCUUAUAUAAUGCCAAUUUCAAUAUUCUAAAGAAAGGGUAUACAUACACGAAGCAUCCGUUUAUUGUCACCCCUGAUUUUCAAGCUAAGAACAAUGCAACACUAUGUUUUACUUUUAAUGUGAACUACUAAACCGGACAUCAAGUGUGAUUGAUUUCUUCUUCGCAAUUUCCUCAAUUUAUAGCGACAAUGUGUAAUGUGAUAAUCAAACAUAAUUAUCAAGAAUGUAAAGGUAUGCAAGUACAUUUUUAAGUACAAAGGUUGGUAAUGAUUUGCAAAGGAAGAAAAUGUUAUGCAAUGUCUAGAAAGCCCAUUUUUUCCAAAAAAAAAUCUAUACUUGCACUUUUGAAUGUAAAUAGGGGAAAUGUAUCUAUUUCUUAUUUUUGCUCAUGUAAGUAUCGAUCAUGUUUAAAAUGAAACAAUUGUUUGUAAAUCUUGUACAAAAUGUUGGAGAUGAAAGCCAGACGAUGUGCUUUAAUUAUAUUGUAAUUUAUUUGAUUGUAUGAUUAUCUUGAUAAAUGAAAAGUGACUUACCGCUGCGCUAGAGUAUAUAGAUGUCGUUGCAAAUUAAUGAGGCUUCUGAAUUCAAUUAUGCUGUCCUUAAUUUUGUUUCCCUUUCAUGUCAUUUUUGAUAAGGUAAGUUUGAAAUGUCGGUAAGAAGUAAAAAAAAAAUCAUAGAAAAGAGUGCUCACUCAUUGCAUCGAUGUGAUCCAAUAAUACUUGAGUCAACCUAAAUUGGGAAUUAAGUUAUUCAUAUACAUACAGAUACAUGUAGAACUGCUCUAGUAUAAAAAACUCAAGAGAAAAAUUAUUGAAAUGUUCGUAUGACAAUGUAUGAUAAACCUAAGCAUGCACGGACAACAACAAUAUUGUAUAAAAACUUAAUGUUUAGAGUGCACGAAACCAAGCAAACGUCUCAUUAAUGUUUAACUGAUAUUUAGAGCACUUAACCAUCACUACUUCUCAUUUACUAACCCCAAUAUUGUUGAAAAUGACCAGAAUUUUUGAGAAGCUAAAAAAUUAUGAAUUUUGGUAAAAUUCAAGCAUUAUUUUCACGUUGUCCCGAUGAUCUUGGAAACUAUUGCCUUGCACAAAAGUCGUGACAAGGAUAAUUAGGAGACAGUCAAAUUUGACGAAAUUAAUUUUGAAGGACAACUAGUAUCAUGGGAUACAGACUUUUGUUAUAUGGGUUAGUGUGUCACUCUACCGCCUUGAAUAGUGAAUCUUUCCAUUUAGUGGUUAAAUGGUCAACUGAAAGCCGGGUUAAUUCAAUAAUUAUCUUUCCAACGAAUCUGGAUCAUCAGUCUCCUUUUCUUUCUUUCGCGUAGGGGGUUGUCUUAUUUGGAAAGUAGAACGGUAAAUUGUCACUACUAGCUUUGUAAUUCUAACCCAACUGACCGAAAAGAGUGAAUUAAUUGACAGAUACCCUGUCGAAUGUUUUUUAAUAGAUAGACUCUAUUGCACUCAGUUGACCAUUGUCAAUUGUGAUAGUUUUGUUUUUCCCCGAGAUCUUUUAUUAUUUUGUAUGAGUAUACUCAAAGAUGAACGUUAACUAAAAAAAAAACUAUAGCAAGGUUAGAGUCGAGGCCGCAAAUUCCGAGUUACGAGGGCUCUAGAGAAUGCCUUCUCCCAUAGACUUUGUACACGUGACUCGGUCCAAGGCCGGUAAAAUGUGGCCCCAAAGACCGGCCUCAACUCCAUCCUUGUUAAAUAGAUCGUAACAGAAAGGAUUACUUCCUACACGUUAAUUUCACUAAUUUGAUCAAAUGUCUUAUCUUCCAAGAUAGAUGAGUACAUAGUAAGAGUAAGAGUAAAAUUAAAUACGAAGUUAUUGAUGCAUGGAUGAAGAAAAAAAACACUUUGUUUUCUUCGUUGAGGAUUCUUCAAUUUCUAUAGAUUUUAGGUGUUAGAACGAUGGGUAUUUUGUUUUGCGAUUUUAUCGUUUUAUUUUUUGGUGGAAACGAAAUGUAAAGUCUUUAAAUUCCUAUCACCCUCUCUGCUUGUAUACGUUUUGGGUUGAUAGACUUGAUUUGUGUUUUGUUCUUAAAAAGAAUUGAAUCGGAAUAAAUCAAUGCAAGUGUUUUGUCUCAA